AUUGAACGCUGGCGGAAUGCUUUACACAUGCAAGUCGAACGGCAGCACGGACUUCGGUCUGGUGGCGGGUGGCGAACGGGUGAGUAAUGUAUCGGAACGUGCCCAGUCGUGGGGGAUAACGUAGUGAAAAUUACGCUAAUACCGCAUACGAUCUAUGGAUGAAAGCGGGGGAUCGCAAGACCUCGCGCGAUUGGAGCGGCCGAUAUCAGAUUAGGUAGUUGGUGGGGUAAAGGCCCACCAAGCCAACGAUCUGUAGCUGGUCUGAGAGGACGACCAGCCACACUGGAACUGAGAAUCGGUCCAGACUCCUACGGGAGGCAGCAGUGGGGAAUUUUGGACAAUGGGCGAAAGCCUGAUCCAGCCAUUCCGCGUGCAGGAUGAAGGCCCUCGGGUUGUAAACUGCUUUUGUACAGAACGAAAAGGUUUCUACUAAUACUAGGAGCUCAUGACGGUACUGUAAGAAUAAGCACCGGCUAACUACGUGCCAGCCGCCGCGGUAA
rnacentral:rRNA from 1 species